UACGAAGGGUGCAAGCGUUAAUCGGAAUUACUGGGCGUAAAGCGUGCGUAGGCGGCUUUUUAAGUCUGAUGUGCAAAUCCCCGGGCGUCAACCUGGGAACGUGCGUUGGAAACUGUCGGGCUAGAGUGUAGAAGAGGGGGGUAGAAUUCCACGUGUAGCAGUGAAAUGCGUAGAGAUGUGGAGGAAUACCGAUGGCGAAGGCAGCCCCCCUGGGCUAACACUGACGCUCAUGCACGAAAGCGU
rnacentral:rRNA from 1 species